GGUCCCAUCGUCUAGUGGCCCAGGACACCGCCCUCUCACGGCGAAAACAGGGGUUCGAGUCCCCUUGGGACUACCA
rnacentral:tRNA from 1 species